UACUGCUAACCAGCAGCAACCUCAACUGUCAUCCACCGACACUCUCCACAAAAAAAGCUGUUGGAUAAUUACUCGCUCUCCCAGUAAAUCAAUUCAAAUGUUCGCUCAUCCAUUGUCAAAAAAUUCAAUUCAAAUCCUCGUCUACAUAAAGAUGGAAACUACAAUCUCGUGUUGUUCACCAUUUUCAUAAAAUUCCCGAAGCACUCGUUUCUUCCCGCCACAGAUCCCUUCUCCCUCUCAGAAGUUUUUCCCUUCUGUUUUUCUACCCGAGACACCUUACCAAGCUCCUGAUCUUGUGAGGUUGCUGCAAAAUUGUAGUCGUUUCUUCUCAUUGUGUUUAUCCCUCCUCCCUCUCAUACAAAACAAAAAAUAAAAUUGAGCUUACACAAAACACACUCAUUGCAAAAAAAUUCUCUCUUUUAUUGUCAAAAAUAAUUUCCUCUUUUAUUUUUCUACUUGAAACGCCUUGCGAAGCGCCUGAUGUUGUAGGUCCGCUUAAUAUAAAUAGCCGAGUUCGUGUGAGAGGCAACAGAACAAGGGGAUACUAAGAAAUCAUUUGGACAAAAAAGGAGACGGUGCCGCAGUAGAGAGAAUGGAUUAUCUUGAAACUAUUGAUAAAGCUGCUUGGAAUAAAGAAAUGUCAUGUCUUUUGUGACCUUUGCAUCAAGGCCAUCAAUAUGGGAAUGAGACCAAAUAAUCAAGGCUGGUUGGAAAUAUUUGCUGAUAUCUUUCAAAGAACAAACUAGUCAUGCAUUCACCAAGAAACAAUUUAAGAACAAAUGGGAUGGCUGCAAAAAGGAUUGGAGGAUAUGAACAAAGCUCAUUUCAAAAAUUGGUGUGGGUUGGAGUAAUGAAUUAGGAACAAUUUCUGCAAAUGAUGAGUGGUGGAAAGCAAAAAUUCAGGAAAUUAAAGGAGCAAAAAAAUUUAGGUACGCUAGUAUCGAACCAUCUUUAUGUUUGAAGUUCGACAGAAUGUUCUCCAACAUUGUCGUUACUGGAGAGUAUACAUGGGUACCAUGGGCUGGAGUCCUCUGUGAUGAUAAUGUUGGUGUUGCUGAGGAUCCAAAUGCCAAUGAUGAACAACCUGAUUUGGAAGAAGGAAACGAUGAUUCAGAAAAGGAUGGAAUUCCUAAUUUCAUCGAUGAUGUGUGCAACAUAGUUGGAUGAGUUAAUAUGUCAAGUAGUAGCAACACACACAACAGUGUAAAGAGAAAAGAAAGAGAACGUCUUGAUGUUCAAAUAGGAAAAAAAAAAAUUCUAGAAUUAGGAUGCAACUACUGUUACGGUUUAAUCAAAUGGUUGAUAGCAUGUCAAACAAUAAUGAUUUCACAUCUAUAUAUAGAGAUAAGAAAGGGUGUAGUAUUCAUGAGGUUAUGACCGAGCUGCACUCAAUAGGAGUUCAUAUUAGUGAUGAUUUUCAUGCGUAUGCUACUGAAUUCUUAUGUAUGAGAAGGAAUAAAGAAAUGUGGUCAACUAUUGGUAGUCUUGAAAACAAGAUGCAAUGGUUGCAAAUAAUGUUAACAUGGCGUAAAGCACCUUAGACAGAGAGAGAUCUGAAGAUGAUAAUCAGCUAGAAUUGUUAGGGAUCCUAGUUGUAAUUUUAGCAAUUCUCAUCUGACAUAGAGAGACUGUCUGCAAGUUCUGUUUUUCAAUUAU